ensembl:lncRNA
AUGGGUCCUGCACACAGUAGAAAGAGGCUACGCUAUUCAAUUCGGCCGUCCACCGCCGAAAUUCGAUGGGGUUACACCGACAGUCGUCGGCCCCCAGCAGGCUCUGGUUAUGGAACAAGAAGUGAAUACCCUAUUAAGGAAGGAGGCCAUCGAGGUGGUCCCUCCUCUAGACAGGGAAUCCGGGUUCUACAGCCGGUAUUUCAUAGUUCCAAAGAAGGAUGGGGGGUUGCGUCCGAUCUUAGACCUACGUCAGUUAAACCUCUCAGUUAUGUCACUGAAGUUCAAAAUGCUUACUGUCAAACAGGUUGUAGCUCAAAUCAGAUCCGAGGACUGGUUUGUCACGAUAGAUCUCAAAGACGCAUACUUCCACAUAUCCAUCCUUCCACAACACAGGAAGUUUCUGAGGUUCGCUUUCGGGGGCAAAGCUUAUCAAUAUCGAGUACUUCCAUUCGGCCUUGCACUCUCACCCCGCACAUUCACGAAGUGUGUAGAUGCGGCUCUGGUACCCCUCCGUAUGCAGGGCAUCCGCAUUCUAAAUUAUAUCGACGAUUGGUUGAUCUUAGCUCAAUCAGAGCAGAUGGCGGUUCGACAUCGAGAUGUCGUUCUCGCACACAUGGGGGAGCUGGGUUUGAGACUGAAUGCCAAGAAGAGUGUACUUUCUCCAGUUCAGAGAACCACCUAUCUAGGCGUAGUAUGGGAUUCGACCACGAUGCAGGCACGUAUGUCUCCUGCUCGGAUCGAGUCGAUCCUCACAUCAGUCAAGAGAGUCAGAGAAGGCCAGUCACUCACUGUGAAGCAGUUUCAGAGACUGUUAGGGCUCAUGGCAGCUGCGUCCAACGUGAUACCUUUUGGUCUCCUGCACAUGAGGCCCCUUCAGUGGUGGCUCAAGACCAAGGGGUUUUCCCCGAGGGGAAAUCCUUUCCGAACUAUUCAGGUCACGCGGCGAUGCCUUCGUGCCUUAGACAUAUGGAAGAAACCUUGGUUCUUGAAUCAGGGCCCGGUGCUGGGAGCUCUUGGUCGCCGUGUAACGCUAGCGACAGAUGCGUCCCUCACCGGUUGGGGUGCGGUCAUGAGUGGCCACCCUGCCCGCGGUCUGUGGAGCGGUCGCCAUCUGACAUGGCACAUCAAUUGUCUAGAAAUGCUAGCAGUGUAUCGAGCCUUAAAAUAUUUCCUCCCAGACCUGAGAGGCUGUCAUGUGUUAGUGCGCACCGACAACACAGCGGUAGUCUCUUAUAUCAAUCACCAGGGGGGUCUGCGUUCACGCCCCUUGUACAAGCUGGUGUACCAGAUCCUCCUGUGGUCCCAGGGCAAACUCCUCUCGUUAAGAGCAGUGUAUAUUCCUGGGCGAUUGAAUGUGGGAGCAGACAUGCUGUCGAGACAGGGGCCAAGGCCCGGGGAAUGGAUGCUUCAUCCCGAGGUGGUGAAGCAGAUAUGGCAGAUAUUUGGCAAAGCUCAGGUGGACCUCUUCGCGACUCGAGAGACAUCGCAAUGUCCCCUCUGGUUCUCUCUAGUUCACCCAGCUCCACUGGGACUAGAUGCCAUGGCACAGACUUGGCCGAGGCUUCGUCUGUAUGCCUUUCCCCCCAUCGCUCUGCUCCCGGGAGUUCUGGCGAGAGUACGCCGGGACGGGGUCCGUCUGUUGUUAGUAGCCCCGUUCUGGCCGGGCCGAGUAUGGUUCGCAGAUCUGAUUUCUCUCCUCGACGGCUCUCCAUGGCAGAUUCCGAUCAGGACAGAUCUACUCUCUCAGGCGCAGGGCAAAAUAAUUCACCCUCGCCCGGAGUUGUGGAAGCUGUGGGUGUGGCCCCUGAGGGGGCACAUCUGUUAGCAGCUGGUCUCUCAACCGAGGUUGUUGAGACCCUACUCCAAUCCAGAGCUCCCUCUACGAGGAAACUGUACGCCCUGAAGUGGAAACUCUUCACUUCAUGGUGCAGAGAUCGCCACCUUGACCCUGUUAACUGCCCAGUUGGUACAGUUCUGGAGUUUUUACAAGCUAGGCUCUCUGCGGGGUUGACCCACUCCACCUUAAAGGUGUACGUGGCGGCCAUAGCUGCUUACCACGUCCCUUUCAGUGACCAGUCACUGGGUAGACACCCCCUAGUUACACGUUUCCUCCGAGGUGCACUGAGGCUGAGACCUCCAGUACGGUCCCGUAUUCCCCCAUGGGAUCUGGUUGUGGUGUUAGAGGCUCUCUGCAAAGCUCCAUUCGAGCCAAUUCAAGAAAUAUCAGACAGACAUCUGACACUUAAGACUGCCCUAUUAUUGGCUAUUACUUCUCUAAAGAGAGUUGGAGAUCUCCAGGCCCUCUCGGUGGCCCCUAAUUAUCUAGACUUUGCCCCUGGUAUGGCCAAAGCAUUUCUUUACCCUCGAGCGGGUUAUAUUCCUAAAGUUCCCUCUGUCACACCACAACCUGUCGUACUGCAGGCCUUCUGUCCUCCUCCCUUUCGGGAGCCAGACCAGGUGAAGCUAAAUUGUAUGUGUCCAGUGCGAGCACUGGACGCAUACGUCCACAGAGCUGCCCUGUGGAGAAAAUCCGACCAAUUGCUUGUAUGCUACGGUCCUACUAACAGGGGUUCUCCUGCCUCUAAGCAGACCCUCAGCCGUUGGAUAGUCGAGGCUAUCAACGAGUCAUAUGAGUCCUCUGGUCUUCCCCUUCCUUUGGGAGCCAAGGCUCACUCUACGCGGAGUAUGGCUGCCUCUAAGGCCUUCCUGGCAGGUGUGUCCCUCUUGGACAUCUGCAACGCUGCGGGGUGGUCCACGCCCUCUACAUUUGCCAGAUUUUACAAUCUCGAUAUGCGAGCCGCUCCUGGCUCUUCUGUCCUCUCGUCCUAA